rnacentral:rRNA from 1 species
CCCAGCAGCCAUGUCACCCUCCAACUUACAAUUGGCAACCCACUGAAGCUAUGCAGGUGUGAGCCUGGUCAGUACGUAGGUGGGAGACCUCCUGGGAAAAACUGAAGUUGCUGCUGGAA